AAGGGGGAGAAGGAAGAAGGAAAUUAAGAAAGGAGGGAAGGAAGAUGGAAGAAAGGGAGGGAUGAAGAGCAUUUAUGAAGAACUUCUGUGCAAAGCAGUGGGUCAAGUGCUGAGGUCCCAAACUGAAAAACAAGUCACUCUGGUCUCAAAGGAUGAUUAAUGGAGAGGAAAUUGGGAAGAUAGAUAGUUUUGCAACAUUUUUCUCGUGUUGUGUUUAUUUUUAGUGUAAUCCUGGAGAAUGAUCCCCAGCAGGUGAUCCAGAAAGUAAACUUCAGGGUAGAUGACAGCGGCCUGUCUGAGCAGAGUGUGGCCCAGGUUCUACAGUCUGCCAAGGAGCAAAUUAAGUGGUCUUUACUAAAGUGAAAACCGUAGGAGCCAAACCUGCCUGCUCACUCCCUGGACCAUUUCCUCAGACCUGUACAACGCUGAGGAGCCAGAGAGACAAGAGGGUCCUUCCCUUUUACCCUCCCAAAGCCUCCCCCCAAUACUAACCCAGAAUCCCGAGUUCCUGACCUAUAACCCAGCACUGGCAAAUUCAGUCUCAAAGCUGGAAGGCACUUUGGUCAUCUUCUAGACCCAAACAUCCCAAUAGGCGGUCCCUCUGUAUAUUCUGAAGUGGAAAACCAGCUUCACUUGAAGAAUCUCAGUGAGAGAGAACUCAUCCCUCCCCAGCAGCCCAUUCUACUCCUGAACCACUCAUGCCUGAGUCAGGCAUCCCAUCCCCAUGGCAACCAGCUGGUCUGACUCCUUGAAGGUAGACUCCUUUGUCUCUCUGGGACCUGAGACCAGACACUGAAUAAACCAACUUUUGUCUCCUA